rnacentral:rRNA from 1 species
CCCUUAGAUGUUCUGGGCCGCACGCGCGCUACACUGACGACUUCAACGAGUUUUUUUCAUUUGAAAAAGUCCUUGGCCGGAAGGUCUGGGUAAUCUUUUAAAAGGUCGUCGUGAUGGGGCUAGAUUCUUGCAAUUAUUAAUCUCCAACGAGGAAUUCCUAGUAAACGCAAGUCAUCAACUUGCAUUGAUUACGUCCCUGCCCUUUGUACACACCGCCCGUCGCACCUACCGAUUGAAUGGUUCGGUGAAGAUCUCGGACUUCGAUAUUUGUUCUUCAUUGAACUUAUAUAGUGGGAAGUUAUCUGAACCUCAUCAUUUAGAGGAAGGUGAAGUCGUAACA